UCAAACUUGGUCAUUUAGAGGAAGUAAAAGUCGUAACAAGGUUUCCGUAGGUGAACCUGCGGAAGGAUCAUUAAUAGGGGUUGCACCUGGGCUCUCCCAGUGCAGCUUUUACCUUCACCCCCUGUUUACUGUACCACUGUUGCCUCGGCGAGUCGUAGGCUCAGGCCUCCGUCGGCUUCCAAAGCCCUCGAGUGCUCGCCGCAGGACAUUGCAUUAAACUCUCGUAACCAGACGUCUGAAUCAGAAAAUUUAAUAUUUUAAAACUUUCAACGACGGAUCUCUUGGUUCUGGCAUCGAUGAAGAACGCAGC
rnacentral:misc_RNA from 1 species